rnacentral:sRNA from 1 species
CCCUAGCCCCGAUUGAAGUGAAAAUCCUUUUUUGAAAAAAAAGAUUGCAGCGGAAAGCGGGAAACAGC